rnacentral:lncRNA from 1 species
CAACAAGCUCUUGUGACUAAUUGCCUCCCACCAUCCUUACAACCACAAUAUCUGAAUGCAUACGAUUGUGUGGGUUACGCCUCAGCCAGCACAGCUAUAAUUCUGCUGACAAGCUCGUUUCCUCCACUAUGAGGCGACCACUUUCAUGCAGAUACAGAACCUAGGAGAGGUGCUCCUACAGAAUGUCCUGGCUGCUUGCUAUCUAUUUUCUCCUCCUUUUUCCUGGAGCUCCUGUCUCAAAAGCCAGAGAGGAGCUACCUGUUAUCAUUGCUGAGGAAGGGGAGACGACCAAUGUCACCUGCAAGUUUCAGCAUCCAAUCAAUAGGGCCUUGCAGUUGAAUCGAAUCCUUAGGAGGGCCAUGCAAGUGUUACAUGUUUCAGUGUGGGAAAAGAGAAAGACUGAGGCCCCUGAAUAUGCAAAUCGCACCGAAUACUUUGAGAUGGACAACAUGGUGACGAUAAUGCUGCGACAAGUCAAGCAGGAUGAUAGUGAUGUGUAUAUGUGUGAGGGACGUUUUCUAGAAGAGGGGGAGCCCAAGGAUAUAAACAGCAGCAGUAUCAUGUUGGCAGUAAAAGCAGCCUCAGAUAACAAGCUAAGAAACAGUUCAUCAUCUCUCUGGAUGCUGGGCGCCCUGAUCAUCCAGUCGCUUCUCCUGGUUGCUGUGCUGGCAUAUUGUAUCCUGUCCCCUAAAAAUGUAAGUAUCCCUCUGAAGGUAGUUGAAUUCCAAUUACAGAUUUGUUCUCUUCUGUAGGGAAGAAAUAGUACCUCGGUCAGAAAAUGUUCCAAAGUAGCAUCCAAAUAGCUCCUUUUUAUAUUGGAGCAUCUAAUAUUAGAGAAUCUGGCUGGAUAGCUCAGUGAGUUGGAGCACCUGGCCAGGAGUUUGUUUCUCAUGCAGAGAAAAAGCCAGACUGAGUGGUUCUGGGCAAGCUACGCUGUUCCAGAACCACCCCCCACCCCCCUAGAAGAAUGGAAUGUUAAACCACUUCUGGAUAAGCUACAGUUAGAUAACCCUGGAAAGGGUCACUACAAGUUAAAUUGACUUGACACUAUGUAAUUAUUAAUAUUAGUGAAUCCAGCUGGACUCCCAAGUUAACCUAGUAUUCAUGGUUCUCAAUAUCAUGGUUAUUCAUAAUAAUUUCAGAACAGGAAUGGGCCCAUAUGGCCUAAAAAAAGGCUAGAGGACCAAUUUGUGAUUCCGCUCUACAAUCAGAUGUGUUUUACCACUUUGAGAGGCUUCAUUUCUAAUGACAUGGUAACUGUACAUAUAGCUGCCUUUCUUUUCCCCUUUAAUAGAACAAGAAAUUUUGCAAAAAGAGCAAGGAAAAAGAAGCACAAAAUACGGUCUACGAAGACAUGUCUUGCAGCCUGAGGCAAGAGUCCCUGCCUGGAACAAAUCUGUACUAUACCUAAUCUACAGUUAGUUUUGCUGAAGGCGGCUAAAAUUUGGAUUCACUUAUAUAAUUGUCGAAGUAUCUGCAACUCAUUUUGAAACCCUGUCAAAAUGUGUACAUGGAGUACAGGAUGUUGCAUUUAGCUCAUAUUGUUUGGUUAAAAGUUGGUACUUGAACCCCAAGUUCUGAAUUCAAAUUUGAAUUUUUGAAAAAUGCACAUGUUUCUAAUUGCUUCUGAUGAUGCUUCUAAUUGCCUCUGAGCUCUGAGGUGGCUUGAAUCAUCUCCAUAUGGAAAAGGCUUCAAGAAGCCAUUGCCUCUUUGUACAGUCCACAACACCACUAUAGCCCUAUAUUUUAGCUUCAUGUUUUAACCUAUGAUGUUUCAUGGCAUUGAGGUUUUAAAAUGUAAGAGGAACAGUUAGUUAUAUGAGCAAAACAGUUAACAUAUCCAAACUGUAGCAUUUCCACGAUGAAUUUCACAACUUUUUAUCAGUAGUUGCAACUGAAGGAGGUGCAAAUCUUACUAUUGGAAUGCCACUAGAAGCUAUUAAAGUUGAAUGGCUUACCAAAAAUAUGUCAAAAAGUUGUUAUGUUUAGAAUUUUGCACAUAUGUUUUAGGGGUUAUGGGAGUUAUAAUUUCCUAUGAAAUCAUUUGUGUACUGUCCUGUAAUAAUAGAUAAUGUGGAAGUAAUUGGAAUGGACAGUUAAGUGUGCUUAGACAAUAAUAUAUCUUACAAUAAUUGUACAAUUAUAUACUUGUGACCAGGUGAACAAGCAGGAAAAGGUAUGAAAUUUCAAGAGCUUGGAAAGUUAGAUCUGAAAAUUAUUUUUGUUGUUGUUGAUAAUGGUUAGAAAUAGGAGACUGAUUUUUAAUAUUUAAACCUAAAACCACAUUUAACUCAUGGAAUUCACAUUGUUAAUCCAUUAAUGAAACCAUUAAUUUUGAAAUAAACAAUGGAGUUUACAGAGAAUGGUGUGUAGG